GCCAGACUCCUACGGGAGGCAGCAGUGAGGAAUAUUGGUCAAUGGGCGGAAGCCUGAACCAGCCAAGUCGCGUGAGGGAAGAAGGCCCUGCGGGUCGCAGACCUCUUUGGACGGGGAGCAAGGCCGCCGACGUGUCGGCGGAAGGAGAGUACCCGUAGAACAAGCAUCGGCUAACUACGUGCCAGCAGCCGCGGUAAUACGUAGGGGGCAAGCGUUAUCCGGAUUUACUGGGUGUAAAGGGAGCGUAGACGGUUAUGCAAGUCUGAAGUGAAAGCCCAAGGCUCAACCAUGGGACUGCUUUGGAAACUGUAAAACUGGAGUGCAGGAGAGGUAAGCGGAAUUCCUAGUGUAGCGGUGAAAUGCGUAGAUAUUAGGAGGAACACCAGUGGCGAAGGCGGCUUACUGGACUGUAACUGACGUUGAGGCUCGAAGGCGUGGGGAGCAAACAGGAUUAGAUACCCCGGUAU
rnacentral:rRNA from 1 species